UACGAAGGUCCCGAGCGUUGUUCGGAAUCACUGGGCGUAAAGGGUGCGUAGGCGGCGCGGUAAGUCAGAUGUGAAAUCCCGGGGCUCAACCCCGGAACUGCAUCCGAUACUGCCGUGCUAGAGGAUUGGAGAGGUAGCUGGAAUUCUUGGUGUAGCAGUGAAAUGCGUGGAGAUCAAGAGGAACACUCGUGGCGAAAGCGAGCUACUGGACAAUAUCUGACGCUGAGGCUCGAAGGCCAGGGUAGCGAAAGGG
rnacentral:rRNA from 1 species